CGCAAGUGGCGCAUAUACGUUUUGCGUUGUACAUUUUGUAACUCCAAUGUCCCAGUUUCUGUUCGUCAUUCCGCAGGGUCCGUGUGAGAGAUCAUCCUGCACAUAUUCUGCACGCUAUUCUUCAAGGUUGACUCUGUAACAUUGAAGCCUUCUACGAUGUUCAAGUACACCUUCUUCUGUCUGUUCGUUUGCCUAAUUGUUCUGGAAGUCCUGGUUGGCGCACAGGAAGGAGGACUCGCACAGAUCGUAGGGGGAUUUGACGGUCCAUUAGACAAAAGCACACAAGCGGCCAUCGAUAAACAGUUAAAGGAGCAGAAAGCUUCCUUAGACGAAGUUAACAAGAGUCUGGAGGAGGCCUUUGGACGUUAAGGAAGGAAGGUCAUCGCACAAUGAACAACGAAAUGAAAGUGUAUUCAAGAAUAGACGUUCGACGAGGCCUUCAACAUCAUGGAGAAUUGUACUUCGUUUACCGUCGAAGCGCUGUAAUCGCUGAGGCAAUCCGCCUCAAUCGUCCAGUUAAAAUAAAUACGACGUGAGUGC